AGAAAAUGCUAUCCAUGAUGAGACUGUGCCUGAGUCCACUGUACAGAGUGGCAGCUGUCUGAGGAAUGGCAACUUGCAAACCCCAAGAGGGAAAAGGAAGGUCCAAGAACAGUGUGCACGCAUACGAAGAAAUUCUUCCAGGAGCAGGAGAAGGCCAAGCCAGCCGCAGAAUGGAGAAGUGGUUGAAGCAGUUACAUUGUUUGAAGUGGUCAGCAUGGGCAAGAGGGCAAUGCAGUCUGUGGUGGAUGACUGGGUUGAAGCUUAUAUCCAAGAUCGAGAUGUGGCACUUCUAGAUCUGAUCAACUUCUACAUUCAGUGCUCAGGC
rnacentral:lncRNA from 1 species